GAGGGAAUGACUGGUGACAGAGUGAGAGAGGGGGUGAAUAGUGACCGAGUGAGGGAGGAGAGGGUGACUAGUGACAGAGUGAGGAAGGGGGUGACACAGUGAUAGUCACCCCAUUCCUCCCUCUGUCACUAAUCACCACCUCCCUCACUCUCACUAGUCACCCCUUCCCUCCCUCACUCUGUCACUAGUCACACCCUCCCUCUCUCUGUCACUAGUCACACCCUCCCUCUCUCUGUCACUAGAGUGAGGG